rnacentral:rRNA from 1 species
UACAGAGGUCUCAAGCGUUGUUCGGAUUCAUUGGGCGUAAAGGGUGCGUAGGUGGCGCUGUAAGUCGGGUGUGAAAUUUCGGAGCUUAACUCCGAAACUGCAUUCGAUACUGCGGUGCUUGAGGACUGGAGAGGAGACUGGAAUUCAUGGUGUAGCAGUGAAAUGCGUAGAGGUCAUGAGGAAGACCAGUGGCGAAGGCGGGUCUCUGGACAGUUCCUGACACUGAGGCACGAAGGCCAGGGGAGCAAACGGG